UACGAAGGGUGCAAGCGUUACUCGGAAUUACUGGGCGUAAAGCGCACGCAGGUGGCUGAGUCAGUCGAUUGUGAAAGCCCUGGGCUUAACCUGGGAAUUGCAGUCGAUACUACUCAGCUAGAGUAUGGGAGAGGGUAGUGGAAUUCCCGGUGUAGCGGUGAAAUGCGUAGAUAUCUGAAGGAACAUCAGUGGCGAAAGCGACUUCCUGGACCAAUACUGACGCUCAUGUGCGAAAGCGUGGGGAGCAAACAGG
rnacentral:rRNA from 1 species